AGACAGCAGCAGCCGCGGUAAUACGUAGGUGGCGAGCGUUGUCCGGAAUCAUUGGGCGUAAAGGGAGCGCAGGCGGGCAUGUAAGUCUUUCUUAAAAGUGCGGGGCUCAACCCCGUGAUGGGAAAGAAACUACAUGUCUUGAGUACAGGAGAGGAAAGCGGAAUUCCCAGUGUAGCGGUGAAAUGCGUAGAUAUUGGGAGGAACACCAGUGGCGAAGGCGGCUUUCUGGACUGCAACUGACGCUGAGGCUCGAAAGCCAGGGGAGCGAACGGGAUUAGAUACCCGUGUAGUCCCUGUCUCUUAUACA
rnacentral:rRNA from 1 species